GCAGACACAUUCCAGCCAAUCAGCAGCAGACCCUCCCUCCCAGACCCUCCCAACUCCUGGACAGCAUCCAUUUUACAUUCAUUGUGAAGCUGCAUUCUUAGUGAGCUGUCCAGGAGGUGGGAGGGUCUGGGAGGGAGGGUCUGCUGCUGAUUGGCUGGAAUGUGUCUG